rnacentral:rRNA from 1 species
UCGAGGGGCAGCACAAGGUAGCAAUAUCUGGUGGCGACCGGCGCACGGGUGAGUAACACGUAUGCAACCUACCUGUAAGCGGGGAAUAACCCGGAGAAAUCCGGACUAAUACCGCAUAACACUGUGAUUUCGCAUGAUAUUACAGUUAAAUAUUUAUAGCUUACAGAUGGGCAUGCGUAUGAUUAGCUAGUUGGUGAGGUAACGGCCCACCAAGGCAUCGAUCAUUAGGGGUUCUGAGAGGAAGGUCCCCCACACUGGUACUGAGAUACGGACCAGACUCCUACGGGAGGCAGCAGUGAGGAAUAUUGGUCAAUGGGCGAGAGCCUGAACCAGCCAAGUCGCGUGAAGGAAGAAGGUUCUAUGGAUUGUAAACUUCUUUUGUAAGGGAAUAAAGUGCGCUACGUGUAGCGUUUUGUAUGUACUUUACGAAUAAGGAUCGGCUAACUCCGUGCCAGCAGCCGCGGUAAUACGGAGGAUCCAAGCGUUAUCCGGAUUUAUUGGGUUUAAAGGGUGCGUAGGCGGACCUGAAAGUCAGUGGUGAAAGUUUGCAGCUCAACUGUAAAAUUGCCAUUGAAACUCUGGGUCUUGAGUGUAAAUGAGGUAGGCGGAAUGUGUUGUGUAGCGGUGAAAUGCUUAGAUAUAACACAGAACACCAAUUGCGAAGGCAGCUUACUAGGAUACAACUGACGCUGAGGCACGAAAGCGUGGGGAUCAAACAGGAUUAGAUACCCUGGUAGUCCACGCAGUAAACGAUGAAUACUAACUGUAUGCGAUAUACUGUAUGUGGUAAAGCGAAAGCGUUAAGUAUUCCACCUGGGGAGUACGUUCGCAAGAAUG